UGGUAAGGAUGCAGAGAACAAACAGGAGU
rnacentral:piRNA from 1 species